AGCGAACGCUGGCGGCGUGCUUAACACAUGCAAGUCGAACGUGAAAAGGGGCAACCCUGAGUAAAGUGGCGUACGGGUGAGUAACACGUAGGUAAUCUACCCCAGAGUCUGGAAUAACCUGCCGAAAGGCGGGCUAAUACUGGAUAGAGCGACGGGAUCCGUAAUUGGGUCUUUCGGGAAAGGGAGCUCGCAAGAGCCUUCGCUUUGGGAUGAGCCUGCGUCUCAUUAGCUAGUUGGUGGGGUAAUGGCCCACCAAGGCAGUGAUGAGUAGCUGGUCUGAGAGGAUGAUCAGCCACACUGGAACUGAAACACGGUCCAGACUCCUACGGGUGGCUG
rnacentral:rRNA from 1 species